CAGCCGUAAACAAUGUGCGUUAGGUGUGUCGGUAACCACGCGUUACUGAUGCGCCGAAGAGAAAUCGUGAAACGCACCACCUGGGAAGUACGGUCGCAAGGCUGAAACUUAAAGGAAUUGGCGGGGGGAGCACCACAACAGGCGGAGCCUGCGGUUUAAUUGGAUUCAACGCCGGACAUCUCACCGGAUAAGACAGCUGAAUGAUUGUCAAUCUGAAGGUUUUACAUGACUAGCUGAGAGGAGGUGCAUGGCGUCAGUGACU
rnacentral:rRNA from 1 species